ACAGUCUGUCCUAAAGGCAGCUCCACAAACUGAUUAUAACGAUUUAGGACCCGAUUCUCCAAAGGUGACAGGAGUCCUUUUAGCAGGUUUUCUUUCCUUGCUUUUUUCUUUUCCUUAUUUUGCAGCAUCUUUUGAGCCACCAACGUGCGUCAGCUCUCCAGUAAUGCGCACGUACAAAUGCCAGCCCUCUGCCCGGGCAGCUCUAUUCACACACACACGCAAGAAACAUUUCACAAAAAGUGUUUGCUUUCUGCUGCCUUCCAAGCAGCAGAGUCUCAGUAGGCUACCUAAUUAUAAGAUCUUAGCAAUAAUUUUUUUCCAGCGAUAAUUAACUGAUCCUGGAGAGCGCUGAAAAUAAGCACUUCCCAAGCAAGUAGCAAACUCCCCAGAGUUUUCUCUGCUAAAGUGACAACUCAGCAUGAAACCGCUCCAGCCUCACGGGGACGCAGAUCAUCCCAGCGCCUCCCUGCCAAGAGCCAGGAUAGCCCGACGGUCACAAGCAGCUGAAUACAGGCGUAUUUCUCGCCCGACUGGGUCUGCCCCACCUUCCUAGCCACGCUCCAGGAACGGCAGCGCCAAGGCAAAGCGAUGCCAGGAGGCCUCCCAGCCCAGCCAGCUGCAAUUAUGGGAAACUGCAGCCGGGAGCUCAGCCUGUCCCCAACCUCCCCGAUCUCCCCGUGCAGCUGGUGCGAAGGGCAAAGCGGCGCUGGCCCCCGCGCGAGCCAAGGCAGCAGAUGGCAAUGCCACCCAUGCACUGAGGUGAGUCAGGGCUCAGCACCCCACUGCCACAAGCGGGACCUCGCUGCUCCUCUCCGCGCUGGGGAGCGAUGCCGUGUGGGGCAAGUUCCACAGAAAAUGGGUUUAUUUCCAGAUGCUGCAGGGAAACUAAUUUUGGUUCAACAAGCAGGCAAUAGUGAGGUAUCUUGAGGUUUUAUUUCAAUUCUACUCCACAGGAAACAAUAUCUGCUAGCAUUAUCUUCCUUACAUUUGUUUUUAUUUGACCCAAUACUGUGUUAAAUAUAAAAUACUGAUUGAACAAGAAUGGAUGGUGAAAAACAUGAGAUGCAAAAAAGAUCCCCCAAACCCACCUCCAAAGACCUCCUGAAUGUUACGAGUCAUUUAAAAUUAGUAUAAAAUAGGAGGGCAAUCCGAUAACGUGCUCUGCGCCUCCCACCCUGCUUUGCAAGGGAAGGAUUUAGGAAGCGAGAGGAGAGGGGGGACUUCUCAAUUACAGAGAAGCCCACCCAGCAAAUCCAGGCUCAAGGCAGGGUGGCAAUGUCCCCGACGGAGACUGGCCACCCAUUCCUGCCUGGGUGUCUGCCCUGCCCUGGGGUUUCAGCAGGAGGCUGAGAUGAAGUGGCCUUGGAAAGGUCCUUCUGGCACCUCCCUGUGCCUCAGGAGCCCCCAGGAUGGAUUUAGGGCUGAAAGCCCCCAGUGACAACAUGGCUUCCAAGAUGAUAAAUCCCUUGGGAUGAAGCCUGAGGACAAAAUGCUGUGGUGGUCCCUGGUCAUCCUCAGCCCCUGCCAGGGGAUGUUUGCCUGGUGGCUGGGACUGCAGUGAGCACGGUCUGUCCCCAGGGUGGUUCCCCCAUGGGAUUUAGUGAUGGAGGGGGAGGAGACCCCGGCACACAGAGCCACAGUUGUCACUGUGCCCCAUGGUGGCUCUAGGAAUCAGGUCCCCCAGACUCAGGGAGAAUUGAAGCACGUGUUCGUAAAGCACGGUUCUCCUCCAAGUGCUUCAUGGGGUCCUCACACGAGCCCUGUGAGGUAGGUUGGUGUCUUCAACCCCAUUUUACAGAUGGGGAAACUGAGGCACGGAGAAGGGUAAUGACUAGCCAGACAGAAAAAAUGGCAUCUCCCAUUCUAGGACCCCAUAUUCCACUAUUCCAACCCCAGACGUGCCUCACCCACUGCUGGUUACUCACAGCUCAUCCUUCUCCACCCCUCCAUCUGCGGUAGGUGACGGAGCAAGGGCUGGGACCUGGGAGCCUGGGAGAGGCAGCAGCAGAGCCUGAGCUCACACUAGGUCAUCCACACCCUGUCCCUAAGGCCACCUGUCACCCUGAGAGGCGUCCCAGCCCAAAAGCUGCUUUGGGGUGCCCUGGGCAGAGUCCCCCAGCAGCCACAUGCUGGGCUGGGGUGCCAGGCACAGCACAGAGAGCCCCUUAUAGGAACCUGCUGCCUGCGGAGGUGAAAACCCACUGGAUUUUUUUGCUGACCUGGUGACCACAGCCAUCAUGUCAGGAGGGGGUGAGUAUCCAGAUGCUUUCUCUUUGGUAAUUUGCUGCAAAAUGGCACAGCCUGGGAGAGCCAGUCGGGAUGCUGCAGGCUGGGGGACCCUAAGCUCUGAAGGAAGUGGGGCAGACCAGGAGCUCAGCUCCUCAGCAUGCUGCCAGAGACAGGAGAUGUGGGAUGGUGGCCAUAAAUCUCCUUCGCUUGCCACGUCGCACUGAGACUGCUGCAGUUGUGAUUAAUCAAGAGGCCAAAAAGAGAUGAUGGGAAAUCAAUGCUUUCAGGGGCUCCUGGGGGAGGACUGAGAGCAGCGCUGCUCUGCCGGCCAGCCCCCCCCCCCAGAUGCCGGCACACAUCAGAGCCUGGCAUGCACCAGACCCUCCUGGCUUCAUCAGCUCUGCCGGUGUGUUUGGGGAGCUGGACCAGGAGUGAUUUUUCCCAUUCCAGCACCACUGGGACUGCUCCUGAUGGCUGGAUGGGUGCUCCACAUCUUGUUAUCCUGGCUUGGCAAGCCCUGUGUAGCUGUGGUUAGGCAUCUGAAAACUGAGCAUCACUAGGACCUCCCCAUCACAAGUCACCUCCAAGCAUCAUGCAGAUGCGUCCCUUCCCUGCAGUGAUCCUGGGAAUGUUGGCAAUCCUCCCAAAAGUGGAGUUAAAUCUGAUGAUGAGCAAUAGGCUCAUUGUCAAAAUGGGAGCAGAGAAGGUAGGCAGCCCUGUGAUCCCAACCCAAGGGUGUUUGCUCCCCUCUCUCGAGAAGAAAGAAAAUCCCUUGAUGUGGAUGUGGUG